UUAAAACUCUGCUUCUAGCGAAAUCUAUUCUUUGCAUUACCGUUUAACAGCCAAUAUUUGUCCUUCCUUCGUUAUUCUUUUUUCGCGCGAAUACGGUGAACAAAACCGAUUUUGUUUUAUUUGCAAAUAAAACGCCUCUAGGAUACAGCCUAUUCCUGUGCAUUAUUAUUACGUCACUCUCGCGCGAAAUUCCGCUAACUCUCAUCAAGAGAGUGAAAUGUAUUUAAUAAUAUAAUUUGCGUAAUAUUGCAACACAUACACACACAUUCAAAUAACUUUUUAUUGGAUGCGAAAGAAAAAAACAGUUGACUGACAGUCGGCGAAUUUGAAUGCCACAAUAAUGGUGCCAAUUCAACACUAAUUGAAACACUUGCAAUCAAUAAAUACAAAUACAAUGACGACAUCGUGUGGACCGAAAAAGCGAACUAGAGAGAGAGAGAGAGAGAGAGAGAGAGAUGAUCAGUUGAAAAUAUAAUUCUCGUAAUUGGGUUGUAUUACGAUUGCAUUUUCUCAUUUCGUUUGUACUAUUUCAAUUUAAUUACUUUUUAAGUUGCGAUAUGCAACUUGAUUUUACGCCGCAGCAGAAUAUCGUGUUCUAUCAAUCGUAAUUUCUAAACUUUCAGACUUUUAACUUUUAUCUUCGCUACGUAAUGUAUUCAUUUGAUAUGGUGCUACAGAAAAGUCACGAUAAAGAAUUUCGCUAAUUAAACACCAUUAUAAGCGUGCCUUCGUUUCUCGUAAUAUUUGGAUGAUAAUAAUCAUUUUAAUAAUAACACUAUUUUCGACAAAUUUAAACUUUUUCAGAUUCUAAUUAAUUAAAGUAGUUCUUAUAUAUAGAUCUUUUGUAUUGCUCAAAGCGAUCCACUAAUAAAAUUAUUUUAUUACACCACAUUUUUGAAAAAAUUCGACUUAAAAUGACAUAAAUGAUUUCUGGAUAUUUUUGAGCUAAAAUAGUUCAAAAAUGUGACGUGACGGGAUAAUUUUGUAAACGGAUUCAUUUUUUCUAGAGUCAAAAGAUCUCUAAGAGUCAUCUACUAUAUCGGCUUCUAUUAUAAUAGGACAGAAAGUCGAAUAAAAGCAGGUUUAAACGCAUGAAUAUUAAGAGAUCAACCAUAACAUUUUAGAAACAGAUUAAAUUUUUCAACAAAUAUAUGUUUUAUAGAAUAGAUGGCGUUUUACUGCUAAAGUUUGGAAGAAAAAAUAAUAGCGAACGAGUGAUAACGGUUACGUCUAAAGGAAUCGGAAUUUGACACUUUUAUGCGAUAUGUCGAUAGUAUCCUUUAUAUCGCGCCAAAUGUAGAGGACCAAAGGGUUAAAGCCGAAGACGACUUUUCAUGCCGUUGACAUGACGCGAAGAAAGCAUAUAGACGGUGUCGAGAAUCUCUCCAGCAUUUCGAGAUGCCACGCUAAUUCCACGUCGAGUUCUCGAUCCUUCCAGUCUUUUCUCAAGCAGUUCCUCGGUGCAUGAUGCCUUCUCUCUGACGAAGGAGAGAAGCUUGUAUAUAGGGUGUUCGCAAGUAUCAUCCUUGAUUUUAAUGAGAUUUCUUUAGAUUUUAAAUUGCUUUUUCUCAAUGAAAAAUGUCGAGGUAGAUUAUCUUACGUUUGAAUUUUUAAUAUAUCUUUGCAUACUGAGCUACGAAUGAAAAGUGUUUUGGUAAAAACUUUUUCGAAAUUUUUUGAAAAGUGAUACUUCUUACGAAACACCGAUGAAAACUUUUAAUUUCGCGAAAUCGUAUUGCAAGUUAACCAGAGAUUGUCAUAAAAGUUAAAGUCGGCGGUUUCAGGACACCGCGUAUAGCGAGUCGCAGAUAGACGUGCACAGUCUGCGUGCAUGACAGAUCCCGCGGUUCGCAUGGAGAACUUUACGGGACGAUAAUGGACAGAUUUAUGAGACUGUUUAUCGAUCCUCGAGUAAAUCCAAUUUUCGUAGCCGCGACGGGGCGACGAGAAUUCCGUCCGCGGGACAUCGUAAAGAACAUGGAAAGGCGAGGGCAAAAAGUUGCCGAGAACUUAACUUCCGUCCAUCCGUCCAUCUUGUCGGUGCAAACCUGAAUUUAUCAGGUCAAUUUAUGAGUAAUUUCCGGGUCGCCGUGAAUGAUUUUCGUCUUGCCUUUUAGAUUCGGAAUUUUACGCAGGUGUUUGAAAAACCGACGGUCGAAAAAGUUGCACAGCAAUUGACGUGAAAUAAAUUACAAAUAAAUUACAAAGACAUAAUAUAUAUAUUUCAUUAUUUCGUAACAUAAAAUAAAGUGUUAAAUGAGAGAAAUAUGUAUUAAACUUUAUAAAAUACGAAAGAAAAUUAGAGCGCGUUAGAUAUUAAGUUUUACGAUAUGCAAAUAAUUAAGCGAUUACAAUCGCUCGUUCACCAAAGUAUGAAAAGCACGGCGAAAAAAAAAACGGGCAAAUCUGCCGCGACAAGGCCACUGGGCCGGAUCUUCAUUUUCGCGAACUCAGGCCUUAACUUUCGGACUCGAGGCUUUUUCAUGGUUUAAGGACAAGCCGGAGGAGGAGCCCUCUCUCGCUCGUCCCUCAAAUCCUUUCAUAAAGAAUAUCCAUCCUUCCAACUCACGUCCAAGAGCACUUGCUAUCCCUCCUUUCUCCUGUCCCCUCCGUCUCUUUCGCUUCCUCGUUUCUUUGUCCUCAUCUUCCCUCUCCUCUACGUGUCUCUAUCUCGACGUACUUCUUUUCCACUCUCGAUAUCGCUUCCGCGUAUCUCUCGUAGUUUUUUCUUCUGCACUCAUCGUGUUUCGUUAUUUUGCAUUUUUACGGACGCGUGUAACCGACAAAGCACGAGGAUCGCAUCGAUUCCGAGCUUUCCCUUCGAGGGCCGCGGGUCGAGUUCGAGUAUCCUUGACAGACUGACGCAAGCGUAUAGUCUUUCCAGUACUCGAAAUUGUUCCGGCUAUUGGACAUAGAGCUUUGGCCAUUCGAAUCUUACGAAACGGAAACCCGCGGCCGGAAUUGAAAAGCUGACACUAGCAGUCCACCGUAUUGCGGUGAGGUAGGAAAACUAUUUUUCAACAAUUUUAGCUCCCGCGUCCUCUGGGGAGGAAAAAAAAUACGCGCGUUAAAGGAUUAAAAACGCAUCGGACGCAGUCGCGCGUGCUCGAAAGUUGAUCGAGAUUAUCGAGUAUUCGAACCCGAAGGGGAGGAGAGAGAGGGAACGUACUCGAUUUCGGCCGGUGUGCAGUGCCGGGACUGUCGGGGUUUCCGACCGAGAUCGAACAAUCGCGACACUCGAGAAUUUCCGGUACCCACAUCCACCCUCCCCAGCGCUACUCGCCGUCUCCCCUCGAAAUGCUAUAGGUUUUUUUUUUUUUUUUAAUUUUGCGCUUGCAUUUUCGUCGACCUCGCGGUCGAUUCUGAGCGCCUCGCUCUCUCGAGCAAUCGGAUAACCGCUCGGGGAAUCACGAGACCUGACGGUCGAUGAAUAAAGGAGACGUCAUUUAAAUUGUAAAUGCCCGCGAUAUCCGCGCGGAGGCAAACCUUCAAUUAGGGCUCCGCACGCGGAGGAGGCGCACGUAUACGAGACGUGGGGCUCUCGGCGCCGGCAUUGCUGCGUAAGAUGUGCCAGAUAGAUAGAGGGACAGUCGCUUGUUGCGAUUUAGGCGAAACGACGUGUAAACUUCCACCGUCGAACGCGAACAGAUAAUGCGCCGAUAACGCAACGAUUGCAUCGAUCGCGCCUUUCAUCGCUCUCACUUUUAUUUCUUCAGUAAAAACUGAUGGUAAAAUCGUCGACAAUCUUGCAUCGCCUCUUUUAUUUUCACAUAUUGUUUGCUUCCAUAUCACUUUUUAAUUCUUCUUUUUUUUUUUUUCGAAAGAGAUCCCGUCUCGCCUCCUAUUUUCGAUAAUUUUUUACUAGUCUGCUGAACUGCGUAUUAGUAUCUAAUACGCAUGUACAAAAAAGAUAUUCUGCGUUUUCCAACGGUGGUCUUUGCGUGUGUACAACGCAUCCUCGACGAACGACAGCCUCAGUCAAAGAUCUCUCGUGGCAACGGCGCCCGUUUAAUCUCGGGUUAAUCCUCGAUGUCAAUCAGCAGGGUCUGUUGCUUCGGCAAGUAUUUGUAAGAGAGAGAGAGAAAGAGAAAGAAAGUCGACCUUUAUAAAAGGGGAACGAACGUUUACCCAGAUUCCUGGCAAAACGCUCGGGAAAGGUUGCCGUCGAGGCGCGGAAAAACGGGCACGGGGGAAAGCGUGUGUAUAGGGUGGCGGUUGGGAACGAUGUUCGCGAGUACUUGAAUGUCUCAUUUCGCGGAGGAACCGGGAGUUACCGGGGGUGAAGGGGGUGGCAGAAUGGUGGCGUCACGCCGGAACUUUAUAAAGCGCGUCUUUGCAUGUUUUCACUCCGGGCACGCACGCUUUUAUCGUCCCUACAACGCCGCCGGUAGCGAGCGGCACGAUAACACGAUCCAAUUCGUCGUCACGACACGUAUAUACGUGUAAAUGUGUAUGUGUGUGCGUGUGCGAAUGUGCGUGCGUGUACAUGCGCGUGUAAGUGUGUCGUGUGCAUGCAUAUACAUGGGCAUAUGCGCGUGCACGCAUACAUGCGUCAUGCAUGCAUGCAUGCAUACGCGCAUGCAUACCGGAAGAGCGUGCGGGUGUACCGCGCGCGCGGGGCAGAACGAUCGAUCGCAAAAGUUACGUAAUGAGUCUCCGCGUGUGCUAACUCUUGCCCAGAGACCGCCAAAAUCUAGGUUAUCAAGUUUUCGUCGGCAACCCACGCCGACACGCUCGAACAGGGCCGCAGCUACCUCGCCGAAAGAUGUAAACGUUGAUAAUGUGUAAAGCGUUGAAAAAUAUAAAUAUCUGCCUGCUUUCUUAAAGCGUGAAAAAAUUUAUAUUUCCGAAAAAAAAAAUUUUUUUUAUGCGAACAUUGCAAUUGCCUGGGAAAACGAUCGCUUUUAUUCUGUCUAAGGAUUUGACAAUUGUCCUUAAAAUAAGAACUCGUAAAAUGUUUCAAUAAACUGAUAUCGUUAACUGAACAUAGCUAUUCAUCAGUUAUUGAUAUAGUAAUCAUGUAAUCAAUUUAUCGAAGCAUUUAUCAGUUCUUUUUUCAAAGGUAAAAGAUCUUUUCUUGUGAAUCAAAGUGCAAUGAAUGAGAUUCAUACGCUUGUAGUUAAAAAAAAAUCUGCCACGCAACGAGAUUCAAUAGAACGAUUUUAUUACCGAAAACGGCGACAAAUCGGAUAAAAUUUCUUAAAUCGUCUCUUCCCCCUCCUCUCCCGGAGUGUGAGCGCGCGCACAGCGCCAAUUAAAUUUCAGCAUGGUAAUUCAGGCGGGUGCACCGCCGGGGGAGAUCCCGAAGAUGACGCAUCUCUCUGCGUCAGCGCAGCGCGGCGCGGCGCGGUGGCCCGUUCCUCUCUCCGCUUCUCCCGGUCCAGAAAUGGCUGGCUCGAUUAGCGCAACUGGGCAACCAACUUCGAAAACCCGUCGGGUGCGAUAACUUUUCUCUCCUUUCUCUCUCUGUCUCUCUUUCUCACGCGCCCGUGCGCGCGGCCAAAACUUCUCCCGUUUCUCUUUUUCUCUCCCGUUUCUUUCUCGCAUCGUGCAUUAGAGUAAUCACGGCGAGGAGAGGCGUAACUUUGCGGGAGCGAGACGGCUCUCUCUCAAAGCUCGCCUUAUCGAAUAACGGAGAAGUCGAUCCAGUUAUCCGAAACAUUUGCACGCGGUAGUUCGUGAAGCUGUCGGUGGCAUUUAAUUCGUCAGCGAUAAGGUCACUGCACACCAGUCAAUGAACAAAUUAAUUCAACUUGAUGUAAUUACAUUUUUAAGUAAAGAAUUAUAUCCUAAUUAAUUCUGAAUGAAAAUUAGAUUUAAAAAAUAUCAAUUUGCAAUUUAUUAUUUUGGAGUCUUAUUAUUCUUUUCAAAAUAUCAUCAUUUACUAGCGAUUGUGCAAUGAUCCCGUAUAGAUCGCAAUCUGUUCUACAGAUCGUAUUGAACAUUUAUUUUUAUUUUAUUUUAUUUUAUUUUAUUUUAUUUUUUUUUUUAGAUUCACAUUUCACUCGCGUAAUUUUUGAAAAAUUCGGUGAAUAUCCGGCGUUGCAUGUAUCGCAUCUGUAUUUAUAUGAAAAUAAAUGAAAGGAGUUAUUAUACAGGAAAUUAAAGACAAACAUUUUUAAUAUUUAUGGUAAUGUACACAUAUGUGUAUGUGUGUGCGUAAGGAAGAUUUUUAUAAUUUUUUCGUGAUAUUCCUCAUUCGAACCUACAUUUUAUUUAAUAUACAUUUACGUAAUUGUUACGAUGGGUGCUUAAAUGAUAUUUCAUUAUUUUGAAAUUGCAGGACUUUCAUUUUGAACGCAAUGAGAUGUGGUUUAUGUAAAUCAAACGUUCCAUGAAUGCAGGCCACUGAUAUAUCACAUAUUAUUCUCUUACCGCAUUAUAAAUUAAUUUGCAUAAUAAUAUGGCAGGCGAUUCUGUUCAAAAUUCGCCCUAGCCAUUUUUUCCUUCGAAAAACCGUCGCCAUGUGUUCAAUUACGGUAUUACGAUUUCGGACGUGCGCGAUGUACCGAGAUGAAUGCGAACGCUCGCGUUUUAUUACGUGUAUAUCCUAGUGUCUCAUUAUAGGCCAUGAAUAAUGUAGCGCUUGGAAAUGCAUCGACCGAAUGGGAUCACCCGAAUUUCCGGGGCAGAAUAAAACGCGUCGUAUCCAUGCUAAUCGGCGUAUUGCAUUUUGCCGGUCAAUUGCACCGACUAGACUAACAGUUCAAUUUAACGAUGGCAGGCAAAGAGACGACAGUGAUAAUAUCCACGUCUCGUAAUCGGGAACAACUGCCGGGAACAUAUGCGUCACGCGCGAUGCCGAUUAAAUUGCGCGUCCUCUAAACGGCGUAACGAGCGGUGUACAGCAGCCCGCCGCAUUCCCACGGGAAUGCUUUCAUUCGCGUCGAUCGCCGGGGAUAGGCGAUCCUCUUUGAUUCAUAUCGCACGGCGCGGCGCAACGAUAAGAUCCGUAAAUGAAAGCGCGAUAAACCGCGAAGGGAUUGCUGCUGCACGCCUGUUAUCACCGGUGCAGUCGUAAACUUCCACGACCGUACUGGGAAUUCAAGGAUGCGAUUCGCACGAUUCUCGUGAGCGGAGAGAAACGUCCGAGAUACCUGGUCAAAGAAACAGGCCCGGCAUUCGAUCUCGCUGCGGUUGAUAUGCAUUUCUAUAAGCGCACAGCGCUAGAGUUACGAGAGAGUCCGAAUUGCUUCCGUGACCCGUAAAAUCGAACGUUUAAUUUUAUCAUCGCGUACUCACUGCGUUGCAGUUUGAAAUUUUAUAAUAAUGAUACAUGAUAUUGUUAUUAAAAUUUUAUAACUUUGAUGAUGUAUUAAUGACACGAACGCGACGUAACGCGUAUUCAAAACGUGUAAUAUUUGCCCGAAGAAGCAUCGAAACAUCGUGUCUUGAUGCAUUUUGUAUGUCUAGCUCAUUUAGGCGGUUCUAGGAAAACUUAUGUCUCGCGGUUUAACUAUUUAAUGUUAUACACCUCCCUUAAAUUUACAUAAUGUUCAGUAUGCAAAAUACUAUUUGAUAUUUUCACGCCAGUAAAGCGAAAUUUUAUACCGCAACGAAGGUAAUUUAAUUCGCUGGAACGAGAGAAAAUAGUAACUUGGUGCUUAUAAAUUACAAAAUUUUUUAGUUACAAUAUCCUCUCUCUCUUUCUCUCUCUUCACGGGAAGAGGAAAUCUGUCAUCUGUAAUACUCCAGUUAACAUUCGGUUGAUAGAGGUAAUAUAACAUCUGACGUGACUUCUUAUUCAAGAAGGUCUGCGUUAACAGCGCGUAUUUUAUAGUACUCCUAAUGUACAAAGAUGGAUGUGGUUGUCGGAAAUUCCGAGGGAACUGCGCCGAACCCCACUGACUUUUAAUUCCAUUUCCCGCAAACCAUCUUCUGUUCCCAACAAACAACUGAAUAAUCGAUAGUUACCGCGGCCCCGCUCCGACGGAUGUUGAAUUUUAAUAACAUUGGUUCUCUCAAAUCCAGCGAAUGAAUAGGCAUCAGACUCUUUGUCGGGUGAAUAGUAUUGCAAAGACAGUCGACACGCACGGAAGCGGGAGAAAGGGCUCCAAGCCGAGCGCGGUGAUACGACAAUACGAAAUCGGCCUUGUCAGGCGUCCGGAAAAUCGGAAAAGUCAGGGAAGCUGGGAAGAAUCAGGGGAUGUCAGGGUGAGUCCGAAAAAUUUCGGAAAACUUUUACGAGUUGGACGGGAAAGAUUAAUUGAUGCGGUAGAAUGACAAAUUCGACUUCAAUACUAUUCGAAUCAUUAUUAAAAAUUACGUUUGCGUUUAAAAGGAUUAACCAUAGAAACGAGAGCUCUUUAAUACUUGGAUUUCUGCCAAUGUAAAAUGUAUUAACUUUAAUCGCGAUUUAACUUACUCUUUAAAACUGAAUAAAGAUAAAAAGUAAGUUGAAUCAAGAUUAAACUACGUUGGGUAAAAUAACACAUUAAUCGCUGUACAUCUCGGUCGCUUUAUCUUCCCUAUAUUUUUUUUUCUUGAUUUCGCCGUGUGCCUUUUGCAAGAUAUUGCAAACGCUUUUAGAACCUUAUCUCGCGUAUAUGAUCGAAGUUUGAAGAAACUGGAGAAACUCGUGGAAAUCUUUCAAUUGUAUCCGUGUGCGGCGACUUGGGCAGAGCGAUACGCCACGCGACACCCGUUAGACUAUCGCCGAGGAGAAUGACAUAAGACAUCCCCGUUUCUGACUCGGGCGCCAUAUGACCGUCUCUGUCGCAAGCUCUGGUCCCCGCUCCGGGUACCUAGCGAGGAAGAGAGGAGGGGAGCUUCCUCCUGGCCCCCUCUUACACCCGCAUCGCUAUCCUUUACAUUCUACUACCGUCAUUCCUUGCCCUCUCGUCUCACCGGUCUGCCACCUACCACCACCCCCGCACUCCCACCACGUUGGCAUCGGCGCACAACUACCACCGCAACCAUCACCACUACCACCACGUUCUCCGACCAACACAUCGACCCAAGAAAGCGGAAACGAGAGAGACGAUAAAGGAGAGAAGAAAGAAGUUGAGGAGGAAAGAGAGACGGAGCGAAGCGGGGGAGAUUACGUGGGAAGGAGAAAAAGAGGGGACAAAGAAGCCAAGAGUAACCCGAGGAGAGAUGAGCAAGAUGGAGGAACAAGGAGGCCACCACGUACGAGGAUGGAGUGAUGAGGAGACGAAGGGAGAAGGACAAGGAGAGAGAACGAGAGAAAGAGAGAAAGAGCGAGAGACAGAGAGGGGGCAGCCCAGGCACAAGCAUAGCGUAGCAUGGCACGGCAUAUCCAUAGACAUAUACACUGUGUCUAUGGGCAUAUCGACGAGAUCCGACAGCGGCCGAGCGCCACCGAACACAGCCGACUCGGACCCUGCGCGCUCAACCCAAACCCGAGAAAGCAUAGUUGCAUUUAAACUGCCAUCCUACUCAGGAGGUCUCUCUCUUCCUGAGUCCCGAGCGACCUCGGGACAAAUACGUAUGUACGGUACGUACGUAAGUCGCCGUCGCGCACUCCGCUCUGUGUUAACGUUGCAUCCGCGCUCCGUGUUCGUCUUUCAUGAAAAGAAAAAAAGAAGAGAGGGUAAUAAGGAAGGAAGAGAAUUAUAUAGACCCACAGAAGCGCGCGGUCCUGGCAGAGCAGAGCGGUCCGGGGGUUGACCCGGUCGCGCACAGGAUACCCGGUCGGUCUGACGUCAGGAGCGCUUUAACUUGUUGGAUUCGACGCGAGUGCGACGCGAAAGUGAGCCGAUCCGUGAGCGGUUUCGACCCGAUUCCAACCUCGGGACGGGUGGUGAAGGUGCUGGAGGAGAUGGUUGGACGAACGGAUGUCCCCCUCGGCUUUCGGGCCUGUCGCCCGACGACGGACACCGGCGGAAUGGGAGAGGGGGAGGUGGAGGGCACCCGUUCCCGGUCGGGUUUCCGGUACCGCGACGCGGUCACCUUGUCACGCGUUUUCCGCUGGUUCCGCCACUGGUUCACGUCGUUCGCUUCGUCAUCCGCUUUGUCGGCACUACUGUCACUGUCACUGUGCGCUCAGUUCGGUCGUUCCCCGCUCGUUCCUCGCUCCGCUUCGUGACGCUGUCGCUGUCGCCUCGGCCACUGACAGCUGCGAUGUUCUCCGCGGUGUUAACGAGAUCUCGGCUAUUCGGUGUAAAAAAAAAAAAAACAUCUAGACAGCAAUAAUUCCAAGGCGAAUGAUAUUCUUUGCCUUUUCGAGGCAAAUAUAGUACAUGGUAUUUCUUUUUUUUUUAUACUAGACCUACUUUAGUUGAAGUCUGUAUUAAUUAACUAUCGUGGAAAAUCGAAAUCAGCUUUCUCUUGAAUUUGAAGUAAGCUUUUGAAACGCGGCUUUGAUCACGUCGAGUCGCGGUAUCUGCGAGUGCGUAAUUCUUUGAUGACGUGUGCGAACAACUUUUCUGGAGCGUGAACGUAUAACGACCUUAAUGGACGUUAUGCAUGUCUGUCGUGUAGGGACUGGUAUCUCGUUUUUUGAUGAAACGAGACCCGCCUGCUCUUUCGCGGAUGCCAGUUAUUUGUCAGUAUCUUUAAUCAUCGUAAAUUACCAUUGACGACAAUGAGACGGCAGACAGAUAUAGAGUUAGCUCAACUUGUAGCCGUUGGUGUCGCACACAUGCACACACAUUCACACACAAGCGACGUUCUUAAAUCAUUCGAAUACCGAUAAUCGUCGCCGGCACAUUGUUCGAGAACAUUGAUCCAGGUCUAACUCUCGAUUCGAUGAAAGAUUUUGCGCAUACGAUUUUGAAAUAUAUGUUAUACUGUCAGAAAUUCCGCGAUUUGGGACUCCUGUUAUCGCGCUAGUAUACAGUAUCAUCGUCGUCACUUUCGAGUGAAUAUGCGAUUAAGCUUGUGAACCAGCGAGCCAAAGUUCGGUCUGAGCUAAUGUUCCGGAGGCUAGAUUACAGAUGCCCGUAAGGCACGUUGGGAAGUUUCAGCGAACCCAUUCGGGGUCGAUGACGAGUGUCCGCAUUUUUGACGCGUAACGUAAUGCGGGUUGAUACCGAGAGUCGUGAUAGCAAACGAGAGAAGUUACACGCGACGCAAUGGCAUUAUCUCAGCGAGUUAUCUUUGGAUCUUGUAAAUCAAGUACGUACAUCAGUCGGCGAUAUCUGAAGCGAGUGUAAGUUACAUGAUUUCCAAAGAGCGGUGCGCGUCUAUCUUUCACAUAUCAAUUUCUAGUAAAAUUUCGGGAAGAACGGAAGAUUUGUAGAUUCGCUUCAUGAAAAUAAUCGAUAUUUAAUUAGAUGAGAUCGGUGUAAUACAUGUAAUGAAAUUUUUCGAGUGCAUCUGUCGCGCCGAUUUCUCUCAGUAAAUUAUUCCCCGCGCUCGAACGCUUGUACCAGAAUAUGCAACACGCUGUCACUGCACUGCGUUGCGCGUGCAGCGAAAAUAUUUGCCUAUGGAAAUAUUUGGACCCGUCGGAGUGGAUCGCGCCGUUGCACGUCAGCCAGUAAUCCCAGCACCGUGUGUUGGCGGCGACACUCGAAAAAUGCCGAGUAUAUAUCUAAUAUUAAUACUAGAGGCUAUUAACGAGGAUAUUCGUCAUCAUCACUCCAGCGGCGUUAAUCAAUAAGAUUUGCCCGUGGAUAGAUCGCGUACGAAAGCGCGGAAAAUCCCAGUCCAGCGGCUGACACGUCCUCAAAUUUGAUUUCUGACGGGGCCGCCCAACAAUAAUUGUCAAUCGCCGCGUCCAAAAUCAAGCUGGUGGUAGUGCCUGACGAGAGAGACCUGCGUACACACGUCUCACACGCAGACACCCACACGCGACACGUUCUCGCGUUGCCGUGGUACGAUCUUCCCGAAAUUUUUUCAGCGACGAUUAAUCACCCUGCCGGUUAACGUAAUCAAUCUCGAUGUCAAUGCGAUUUCGUCGUUAUUUUUUUUUUUUUUAUCCCUGUAGCUGUGUUAACGUCACCGGGAGAGACAGAGAGAGAGAGAGAGAGAGAGAGAGAGAGAGAGAAAGAGAGAGAGAGAGAGUAUGUGCGUCCCUGUGGUCGAGGAUGUUCUGGGAAAUUCGUUUCGCGAAAGAGAAUGGCCCGACCGGUGCCAGCGACUUCGGAUCGAAGUUUGGAAACGCUUUGUUCCCGCUGAAAAAGGUGUUUGAAAGAGGGUUGCACGGAUCGAUAUAUCGGCUUGACUCAUCCCCUCUUCCCAUCUGUUUCCUCCCCUCUCUCGUUCUCGUUCUCUCUCUCUCUCUUUCUCCCUUUUUCUCUUUCUAGUCCCGGGAUGAUGUUUCUGCUAGAUAUCGGCGUGAACAAAUACACAGUACGCGACGAGUAUUCAUUGAUAACUCGCAAUUCUUGUUCGAGUGAGGUUUUUACGCGCGACGCGAAUUACUUUUCGAAUCGUUGAGGUCAGAAUUUCGAGGAUUAAAAUAGUGGGAAGUAAUGUCCGAUUGAUUAAAUCGACAGACGGAAAAAUCGGUAGGUUGUAAUUAAACCGUCAUGCAUUUUAACGCAGCGAUCCCUCGCGUAAUUGAAUUAUUUAACGACGCGCUAAUACGCGCUCUUGUGCGUAUCGUGUCGUACUUUGCAUGUCAAAUCACGAAUUUGUAAUUAACGUAAUGAAACGUGAAGCUUGGAAGAAGUGUUGGGAGAGGAACUAAUGAAUAGUGAUUAGGAGCCUAACGUAAAUUCACCUGCGACCCGGUGCGAAACAAUCGAGCUCUGUGUCGUGGAAAUUAAGCAAGAUUUCCCAACGGCGUGGAAAACGCCGUUCCGAGUGAAUCAUCAUGAUGCAACGUUUCGUAACUGCAUGCAUCUAUUGCGGCUCUGCAAAAUUAUCCUCGCCGCGCUCGUUUAUAUUGAAUUCGUUUAUAUCACCGUAAUCCCUUUGACACUUGUACCAAAAAUUCCGCGAGCCCUCUCCCUCUUCUUCCCCAGUUCCGCCGCGAGGCUCCGUCGGCGAAGUAAAGCGUUCCCGAUGUAACACCGCCGCCGUACUUGUUGCGUCUAAAACUUCACGAACCGAAAUCUCCCUCUCGCGCGCUCGGCCUCGUAAAUUCGUAAUAGCGCGAAUUAGCGAGUGUCCCACGUCGAUGUCGCGAUACGGCGUGUAUAAUUGCACGCGAAAUUCACCUGGCUUAGACUACGGCGGGCGUUAAUGAAUGCGCCGCGCAUCCUGGCAAAAACACCGUUCGCGGCACUUUGCGCUAAACGUCAGAACGUUAGUUGGACAUAUUGGAGCGAAGCGGAAGUAAUUGCACGGUGCGCGCGACGACCGGUUGAAUUUCGCGUUACUACAACUGCAGCCUCGAUUUACCUUUACAGCGCGAAUCAUCGGGCAUUUCCCGAAGCAUUUUUGUUCGCUACUUUCCCGGCUCCGCUUUCUUGAAUAUUUUUGUCUACGGUUUUCUUUUGAUAAUACAACUUUUCCGAUAAUGGACGGAAUACCGAGGCUUUGAAAUGAGAGCGGGUAAUAUCGUCUCCUGGGAAUUGUAGCGAGUGGAGGGAAGGAAACGUUAUGCGUACAAAUGUACGACACUCGUCCUCGCGGAGCGGCGAAGUGGCAUGGGUUGUCCUCGUUCUAGAUUUAUUAUUGCUAUAACAAACGGCUGCGCUUCUCUUUGAGGUCUUUAUUAUUCAAGUAAGAAAAGCACUUGAAGACACGGUUAUUGAAACGAUCACGACGAGAGCCAAUGGAAACAAAUUUACUGAAUUACUUUCAAGCACAAAUGCCCUUUGAAGUCCAAAGUCUCCUUCUUAUUUUGGACGGAGGGAAAUUUAUAUAGGUGGCCAGGCUGCUAGUUACGUCAACGUUGAUAUUUAUUCAACGUAGCCAUAGCUCUUUAGACCGGUAUUUAUAAUCGAUUCUUACUUCAAGACCGUCUUAAGUAAUGUCUCGAGAUGCUAAUGAUACGGUUCUACGAUUGGUUUAUGACAUCUUAAGACAAUAGGUACUUAAGACGUUCUUAAAUAAGGAGCGGACUCUCCGUGAGUACCGGUCUCUUCUCGGUUGAGAAACCGUGCUCUCCGUUCCUUUUUUCCCUUCGUAAUCAUAAUCACAGGUUUCCCAAAAAAUUUCUAAUGCCUCCGUCAUUUCCUCGACGGUUUCGAAACGCGAUCCGGCGCCGCGAUUAUCGCUAGAUUAGAUGGCUUCUCUCAACCGCUCAACCGUUACGUCAUCCGGUAUUAACCGGAAAUCGCUACUUGUAACGUCAAGCUACAAUUAUAAGCGUAAUUAUUUGUAAAAGCGUGCGCGCAGUGACACGGCGGUGGCGGCGCCUGCUUCGUAUACGCGGCACAUCGAGAUCGUUGCGCAACAUCCGACAUUGUCGGGGCAUUCGCGAGAGCGGUUCGCGCUUUUCGCGGGCGCGUACAUGCGCCGGCAUGUAGCUCGUCUCCGGCAAUCGAUAGACCUGAGUGACCGAGGAAAUUCGCGAACCGAACCGAAAUUUCAUCCACGUCGGAAGCGUCGCGAUGUUUGCAGCCGGAGGAGGAAGCGCGCCUAUCGAUCUGCCUCGACCCAAAAAGACGUACGAGCAGCCCAAGUGAAAAAAAAUACACUGAGAAUCGUGCACAUGCACUAUUAGCAAUCGACGAUGGAGCACACAAUGUAGAACAAGGUAAGAAAUACGAGAUAAUUUACAAUGUGAAAGGUGUUUCACGAAAAAACGAACAAGUUCAUUUUUAUACUAAAAAAUUCGUGUUAGGACAUUAUAUCAUUUUGUAUUAUCGUGAACAAUUUUGUUCUGACAAGAAUUAUGAAGAAAUUUUAGUUUAAUAUAUGCUAUUUUACAAGUACAAAACUAGUUCGUAUAAAAAAAAUAUUGCUUUAAAUUAUAUUUCCUUCUAUAUCUUUUAUCAUUAUUAAUGUUAUAAAAAAUAAAAGUAAAAUAUAAUGUUACAGGAUUAAUAAGUAAACAUAUAAAAUUCCCGCAAAAACAAGAGGUUUUUUUUUAUUUUUUUAACAUAUUUUUAAAAUAUUAAUUAAAGCUUACAACUUUGUUUUUUAUACCUAUCAUAUAUCCAGAGAAAAAUUACCAUGUUUAUACGAUGAAUGGUUUGGGGAGGUUUUUUGUUUCCUGAAAAUUUAACUUUUUGGACUUGUUUGAUUUCUGUGACAUACUUUUCCACCAGUUGUAAUUUCAGUUAUUAUGUUAUUAGCGAUUACAAUUUAACUAAAAUGUCAAAUCCACGAAAAUCUAAAUUGGCAACGGGGAUAAAAGCGUUCGCUCUUGAUUAAACUGAUUUAUAUCAAUAAUAGUAUAAUAACCCACAUUCGUGCGAAUGAAAUGCGAUUGCAAAUGUCGCAAUUUAUCUAAUACAUUCGCGGCAUUCGAUUCGCCUCAAACGCAAUUAAUUGCCGCGACUUGAGUAAUCAUUUCUACAACGGUAAAACGCCAGCGCGCGCGACGUCCCACGUUACCCAUUAUUGCUACCUGAUUAAUAUAAAUGAUAUUAAUAUUGAUGAGAAUGCAGAUACUUAAUUAACUCGAUAUAUUCAAUUAAGCCCGGCUCUACCGCGGCAAUUUCCCCAAAGUUCAUUUUCCGCGGGUCGGGACCAUUUUCCAGUUUAUUUAGCCGAUAUAACUGUUCCGGGUGCGUCGCGGCCAUCCUAUGUAAAUUCGGUUACAGCCGCCAUGAGACACCUAACCGCACGAACGAGUGCGCAAAUAACGCAAAAAUCUAUAUUCGAUAAAGGGAAAUGUGUGUGUGGUUACGAUUACAACGUUCACGAUCCUCUCCCGCGGGACUCGAUGGCUUCCAAUUUGUUGACCUUUCGUUAGUAUCGGCGAAAGAUCAAAUUUUCACGUUUAUUCGCAAUUAUUCGUCUCUUUGGCACGCCAACUUUUGAUAUUUUCUGAUUUUUUUUUUUUUUUAUUUUGCCAAAUCGAUAAUCGGAUCUCUCUCCCUCAUGGACCUUUAAUAAUUCGUGGCGCGGAGAUUUCUGACCUCGUGUCGCCACGGUUUACUCUCGUAGCCUCGCUCUCGGUGAUUCGCGCGGUUUUAGAACCACCGGAGAGCGUGCGCGCGCGCGCGUACACACACACACACACACACACACACACACAACUGUCUGUAAUAAAAUUCUGAUUUCGAUGCCGGCGUCAAGCCGGGGUCGGCAAAAAAGGGAAAUAACGACAGGUCGCAUCCGCGGCCGGAUUCGGCCGAGACCGCCCGCGUACGGUCGCCUCGUAAAUUCACCACGAAGCGCGCACCCUUGUACCGGCGCCGAUCGGCGAGAAAAUAAAUUCCCUGGGAUUGCAACCGUACGAUCGGGGCUCGUGUAAAAAGGAAAAAGUUUCGCGCAAAAAGAAAGGGAAGAAAGGGAGAAAAUUACGCGCUCGCGGUGGACAUUCUACUCUUCCUCUCUGGCUCUCUCAGCCUCUCUCUCCCCGCCGCUCGCCCUCUCGCUCCGCGUCGCUUUUUGUCCGCACGAGAACGGCGGUGGAGCAUGUAAUCGGAUUUCAAUGACGAUACGUUAACAACGUUCGGCCGUCGCCGAUCUCGUCGCGUUGUCGGUAAGAAAUGAGAUUACCCCCGGCGAAAUGUGGGAGGGGGAUGUGCAUACGCCGUUACGCCGGGCUUCGAAUGAUGCUCCGUCUCUUCCGAUGUAUGGGGAUCGAUAAUAUCGGGCCAAUCGGUAUGCAGGUGCUGCAAUUGAACUUGAUAGCGGAGCGCGCCGGAUAAUGCAUGAAAAUCUAAGCCACCGCCACCGCACCGUAUAACGCCAACCAAUGUUCGCGUGAGUUAUUCUUACUCUGAUUAUUAUAACCAUUUUUUUUUCUUUACAUAGAAAGAAUGAUUUUUCUCAAAUGUAAUAUUUAAAAAUUUAGCUAGAUGUAGAUUUGAAAAUAAUUUUGUGCAAAAUUGUUUGCAUUGCUCACCACGUUUGAAUUCAUCAUAAUUAUUUUGAUGGUGGUCCAAUGAAAUUAUUUUCAGGUACAUCCAGCUAAAUGUUCAGAUACUUGCUGUAAAUCCUCGAAAUUCCGAAUUACAUCAAGAACUUGAAAAGCUUUUAAAAUGCGGUUGGAAAGAUUAAUAACUUCUGAUUUUUUUGCCCAAUCUUGAUUAGCAGAUACAUGAUUGAAUACGUAUGUACGAUAAAAGUUUAUUACUUUUGGAAUGGAAGGUGGAAACAGGAAAAUAGUACACGCUGCUUCUUCUCGAGCGAAAAUUCAACGUUCAUCGGAAAAUAGUGCUUGAACUCUGUUAAGACUCGAACGGGCGAUCAAUUCAACCUCGAAAUCAAAAUGGAAACCUGCACGACACCCGUGGGAGAUGUUCCCAUUGUCCAAAGGUCGAAGUGCACCGAUGCGGAGAAGUGCAAAGGCGAACGAGUACGCGAGCGAGGGUGGCAGGGGAGGAGCACGAGGUGGAUGAGUGAAGGAGAAACGAGAGAAGGAGAGAAAAUCUGCGAAAGUGGCGAUGUACAAUUCACUUGUUCGAGGGACUACGCGGACUAGUUUUCAAACUGCCUGCAGCCCCGCUUAAGUCUCUCAAUGAUCCCUUUGUUUAGCCACGGGGGUGGCCUUAAUGAUCGCUUGUCCCCAGUAAUGUCACAUUUUGUACAGUUUUGCCCACCUCCCUUUCACCCGGUUCUUUAACUAUCGUCGUCCCUCUCAUCGUCUCGGUUUCCGAGCCUCUCCUUAUUAUGUCGCGACGAGUCGUUUUCGCUAGAGAGAGAGAGAGAGAGAGAGAGAGAGAGAGAGAGACGCGCCUUCUUUCUCAGUCAUUUACAGCCUUCAUCAUCUCUAGCGCUCGAAACAUCGGUGUUGCUUUGCUCUCAUCCCCCUCAAGUGUCCAUCCAACCCCGAUAGCUGCCCAUCUUCCUAACAGGUCUGGAACGAAACUUAGGACGAAUGCAAACUGUAAUGUAAAAACAUAUUCAGCUUCUAAAAAAUGUUUCGAAGAUUAAGAAGAUGAAAAGAAAAAGGAAAGUAAAGUGCCCCUCUAGACAUUUUUCAUCAAGUAUACAAGGAAAGAACAAUUUUGUUGAAGUAUCUAAAUAUUUAGCUGAAUAUAGAUCUAAAAAUAAUUUUAUUGGACCAUCAAAAUAAUUGUGACGGAUGUUCGAGCGUGAUGAGCAAUGCUGCAAAAAAAUUUUAAACAUUUUAGCAAUUUACAGUUUGAGAAUCCAACAUAAUUAUUUUAAUGGCCUAACAAAAUGAUUUUCAGAUCUGUAUCCAACUCAGAUUUUCUUCGCGCGCGUAGAAAGCGUUGUUGAAUUUUUACAUGGAUUAAUGUUAAUCGGGAGGAAAGGUUUAUUGGUUCGUACGACACACGUUUGCAGAAGGUUUGAAAAAUUCUAGAAGUAUUCCGCCGCGCCUGGCGGCGAUGCUUAGGUCGCGGUCUCUCGAAUUUCGGUCGAUCUACUGUAAGCGAUUUCGUCGCUCCAUGCGCGAAAUCUCUUUCAUACAUUUUGCGCAUACUUAUCGCGGAUUUGCCGGUGGUGCCGUGCUCUUCCCCCUCGUCUCUACGCACCUUCACCUUCCUCCGUUCGCUUAAACUUUUCAUAGCCGCUCGUUUUUCUCGCUCUCGGAGCAAGCUUGCACGGGGCUCUCGCCCGAUAUUCUUAUGUUAAGCGACGCGAAGUGCCGUCGCGAAUAAAUUGCGUGGAUAAUUGCGCGGAACGGUUUUGACUAAGCCCACGCGGAAUAUAACGCGGAUACGUCCCAUUAUGUCGUGAGAUAUCGCCCCCCGGAAAGAGAUUUCGAGACCUCCCUUUAAUUAACUGCAACCGUUUACCGUUAUAAUCAAAAUGAUAAUCAAAAAAAUAACUGAAGCUUAUUGUUCCUCAAACGAAUGCUGUAUUAAUCGAAUAGCAGAAAUAUUAAUUUUGUCUACUCAAAUUAAAUUCAUUAUUGUCACUAAUAAUUUCAUUUUUUAAUUUAACAUUUAAUGAGAUUCUCCAACUGAAAAAAAGUAGAGAAUAAUCACGUGUAACUUUUCAUACGCGGAUAAAAGUUUCUUCUGAUUGUUUAAAUAAAUGUUAGUAUAAACUAAUUUUUUUUUAAACUUUGAAAAUUUUUAAUCAAGGAAAUAAUGUUUAAAAGAGUAUUAUUUGAAAGUAAAUUUUUUUUUUCAGUUUGUAUAUAUCUUUUAACACAGGAGCUUUUUUGUGAGAGACAUUUCCGUGUUUUUAAAAUAAUAAAUAUUUAAUCAAAUUUAAGCAAUAAAAACAAUGAUUUGUUAUUUAAAAAGAAUUUCUUUGUAAAAUAUUCAUAAAUAUUGACAUAGGCAAACUUGAUAAAAAAUCCUUUGUAAUAGUGAUUUAAAUAUAUUAACAAGUCAGUAUUUUUACUAGUAUGACAUCAUAUUUAAAGAGAAUAAUAUUAUGAACAUUUUAUUUCUCUCGCACGAAAAUGAUACAGUGCAUUUGAUUUUUUCCAAAAUGUUCUUUUAACUCUAUUUUUUCUUAUAUAAUUUUAAAAACUAUACUUUCUAAUUAAAUUACUUAAAACUUUCCUUCCUAUAAGGCUCAAUAUUCUGGAAAAUUAUUUAAGGAAAAAUGGUCAAAAAAUUAAACAAAAAUCAAGUAUAUUAAUCAUAAAUUUAUUAUCUCUUAAAAUUUAUAUGAAAAGACUGAAAAAUAUUAAAUUGACUUCUACUACCAGAGCAAAGUAAGAAAAUAAGUGCGCUGUAAGGAUCUAUUUUCCUGCAGUAUAUUUUUGGAGACAACUUUAGAAAAUGUACAGCGUAGAAGUCUGGAAAUAUGGUCGAACAACGGUCUAUUUCGUCAUGUUUUCCACGAAUCUACGACUAGCUGGAAAUUCCGAACGCGACGUCGCAAUCGUCGCGAGUUUAAUGCCAAGUGUUAAUCGUUGGAAUUGUUCGGACGGAUUGCGCGGGUCGGCUGUAAAGCUUAUUCGUAGUAACGGAUGUAGGGCUUCUGCUUACGGUUAUUUACGUAUGAGUUUACUGCUGCGACCGCAUAUAUAGGCGCAGCCCAUAUUUUAAUCCCACGAGCAAACUCGCGCACUCGCGCGCGUCUCGCCGCGCUUUGCGUUUUCUUCGCGAGAACGAGGAUGGUCCGCGUUCCAUCACACCAUCUGUUUUCUACGUUACGUAAGACUCUAUUCCGACCGAUUAUCUACUGCGCCGCUCCAAUAUGAGCGCAUUGGUGUGAGGACGGGCUCUACAGGAUGUCGUGGAACAAAUAAACCGUUCUUUCCAACGUGAAUGCUAUCGCAAUCUUUUCUUAAUGAAUCACUUGAUAAGCCUUGAUUAUUACUAGUCGCGUCUCAUUAAAUCGUUUUAACAUUAAACGCUUCGAUGAUUAAGCUGUAAUUUAAAUAAUUACAUAUGCAUUAAUGUAGAAAAUUGACGAAAUUCAUUGAAAUUCAUCACCUUUGCGAGUUUUCGCAAUUUCACGAAAGAUAUGUAUACAUUGAUAAAACAGCUAUAAUGAUAAUUGAACCUAGAUGAUAGUUAUUAAUGCUAUGUUGAAAUAAUUGGAAUUAACGUUCGGUUAAUAGCAUAAUAAUCAAAGCGACUAAACGCUAAUUUUACUUUUUAAUAUAGCAAUUAUUAUCAAACGGUUGAUUACUAUUAUUAUGUUUAGUAAUUAUUGUAUCGCUUGACAAAAUACGGAUACGCUGAGAAAAAGUUUUUAAGUUGACUAAAUUUUACAACUUAAUUAAAUGUCUUCAGUUCAAGUAUUUAUAUAUUUCACUAAAAUCUAUAAAAUAUUUGAACUGUAGGUAUUUAUAUUUUUAAUUUAAAUAUUUGAAGAAAUUUAAUUAAGUUGAACAUUUUAUUCAAAUUAAUAACUUUUUUUCUCAUUGUAGUCAUAAGAAAUAUCCAGAAAGAAGGCACUUUUAUUAGUCCGCGAUCUCGCUCGCGUUUGUUUACAUCCUAAUUUUCACGUUUCAUUGGAUUUCGGCCAUCACGAACCCCCGUUGCGUUUCUCGAGCCCGGGGAAUCCGGAGCGAACGACGCAAUUCAGCGACCGCACGUCUCAAGGAGCGCAAAGGAGAGGACAGCUGGAGAGCGGAGCGAGAGAGAGAGCGAAACGGAAAGGAACGGGGUGACCGGGGAGGAAUCGUGUGGCUGUUCUCCGCACGCGGGGUGACGUCAUAAAGCUUAUUUAUACAGCCACACGUGCGUGAGGCGUGUGGUCACGGCGUUGUCGCGAGUUGUCGCUGCUUCUGUAUUAGAAACUAGAAUGAGCCUAGAGCUCCGAAACGCCACGUACGCGCGGCUCGCAUGCAUGUGAUUUUUUUUUAACGCUUCGCCGUCCUCCGCGCGAGAGGAGAGGAGUGGAGAGGAAGAGAGGAGCGCGUCUCUCUCACUCUCCCUCGUGCAACCGCGUUUGUUCUCUGGUACGCUUCGCCUGCCGCGCGACACGCGAUUGCGUCAGAGCCGUUAUACGCCGCGCGUUACGAAAUCCUGGAAAAUCUACGGGUCCCCGCGCGUUUGAAAAUACACCGCGCGAAAACGGUGGAAUGGCGACGUCCACGCGCGACGCGACGGGGAAAAACAAUAACGAGCCCGAGAUAGAGAGCCGGAAUGCGCCGGACGCGGAAUGGCUUCGGAGGCGAUAAAAAUAUUGCGUACGACGGCGAUGACGCAACGUCCCGCGCCAAACAAGACUUAUCAGAGCCGCCGGUCUAACGACGGCGUGAUGCAAGCGACGCAGUCUGCGGUCUGAUCUUUUGACGGUCAAAUGUUUCACGUAUGACGAGAUCUAUAAAAAAAAAAAAACUAAAUAUUUAAAGAAAGAAAGAACAAAAUCAGAGAGAAUAAGCUUUUAUCUUUUAUCCUCUAUUAAUUGCUUUUUUUAUUUCAUUGUUAUAUUUUUUUCCGAAUCAAUUUGUUAUCAGUUAUAUCGCGAAAACUAACGAUCGCUCCAAUAAUUUUUUUCCUCGUAUUGAAAAAGAAUUUGUAUCUUUAUAGUCAUUCGUUUUAUAACAAUUAACUUUAUGGAAAUUUCUCUUUCAACAUAUUUGUGGACUGUAUUUUCAAUUCGUUUGCGUUAGAGAAACAGAGAAACAUCUCGGAAUCUUUGGCGGCAUUUUGCGUUGAAUGAUUCAACAAGGCAGUCUAAUUUUGUAGUAUGACUACUCGCUGCGCUGCGUGUGCGGAAUUCGCUUCGCGGUAGAAGCCGUAGUGAGUCCGUGCGCGACGUGGUGCAACAAAGUGGCACAGUGUUUGGAGAGAUCCAUGCGCUGUUAGAUGCCAGUGCAUCAUCGUCGUCGUCGUCGUCGUCGUCGUCGUCGUCGUCGAAGGUUUACACGAAGACGCCAUUCCGCCGAAAGCCGCGCGAUUGCGCGUUUUGGUGUGGAACAUUGGGGCGAGCUCUCCGACGUCGUGUCGCAUCAAAGGAACGCGAUUACAUCAUGCAUACAAUGAAAUCUACAAGUCCUCUUCAGCGGCCCUUGAGCACGCCGCCGAGAGAGCAUCGCGACGAGAGAGAUUGCGCGUCCCAAAUUCCGCGAGAGGAUCGUCUUUCUCCCCGAAGUAGCUAACAACCCGAGCGAUCUCCCCCGAAAGAAAAAAAAAAGAAUAUCGAGAUUCCAUAUGCGAAUUCCUGAUCCAAUGAUUCACAGCUGCUUCCCGGGGAAUAAAUUUUCUCUGGUUAUGUGUACAGAAAAAAGGAAUUAGUAUCAAAUCAACGAUCGUUGAGCAAGGAUAUAAAAUCUUUAAAAAGAGUUCGAUAAUCUUAAAUUUCAACAAUAUAUGAUAUAUUUUUUUAUAUUUUAAUAUUUUAAUAAUUGUUUAAAAAAACGUAAUAAUUGUUUUGACAAUAAUAGUAUUACAAAAUUUUAAUUCAACAUUCUUGUAUUAUUGUCAAAAGAAUCAUAUCGUGUUCUUAAUCUAUAUAUUAUAGUAUAGUUAUAAUCAACUAUACAUAUAUGCGGUCUACAAUCUUUGUUUACAACUAAGAUUGAAGAUAUUGUUAUUUUUUAACUUUUUUCUUCUCAACUUAUGAAAUAAAUAAAAUUAGACACAAAUUUUUUUAUGUACAAGUUAUAUCUACUCAUUAUUAAAUGUUUUAAAGAAAAUUUUUUAUUUGCUAAUACAUAAGACAAUGAUUGUUGAUUAAAUACUAUCUUUUUUCUGUGUAAGAGCGAAACCAGAGAUGACAGAAAGUGUAAACGAGAACCUUUGUUUUAAAGGAACACGAAGAAAAAUUUAAUAUCUUCGCUCUCAUACUCGUCUGAAACAUUUACCUCAGCGGAGAACAAAAAGCAUUCGCUCAGUUUUAUUCAUACGGAUCCGUUGUUGUGCUGCGUUCGGCGUCAAUGGGAGAAACACCGAGAGGAACACCAAAGAAACGGAAAAAUGUUGGGCGUUACAGGCGGGCCUGACUCUUUGCUCGGCCCGUACUUUUAAUGUUGGGUGAGCAAAGUUUCAGGUGUGUUUGUAUCGCAACGUAACAUCGUAACGUAGCGCGAAGGCGAAGUGGAAUAGAUCCUUUUAUACGAUCAUCAUCGAACCGGCGUGUCUUGACGGUACUCUUACGCCUGAAAUUUGCUUUUUUUACCUGGCCUCUGCGCUCUCUCACUUGGAGAAAAUAAAGGUGAGCAAAGUUUCAGGUGUGUGAGUGCGUUAAAUUUGCCGGCGCGUCGACACGCCGCCGUUUAAAUCCCGUACGCGAUUUGCAAUGGCCACCGAAGACAAUUCGCUCGAUACGGCCGCUAAUUAAAGUCAUUGUAAUUUCUCAAAAGCGACGAACAAAAGGACAUACGAUUGGAUUGUUUCGCGAUAACAUGAUAUUAUUGUUUGAUAAAUUACUCUGACUCUACCGCGGCGAUAUUCAUGCAGGCAUGCGGGAUCAACUGAAUUAAUUAAUUAAAUUGAACUUUAUUACGUAAUAAUUAGCUGUUGUUUAUCUGGACAUUUCCGAUGUUGUUAUCGAUAUGAUAUAUGUUUAUAUUUAAAGAUGCGGGAAUUCGCAUCCCGUUCAACUUUUAUUGGAAUUCUAAAUAAAUUAUAUUGCAAUUGUUGAAUUGUCAAGUGUGUUUAUAAAAUAUAAUAAAUUAAUGGAAAAAUGUGCGCAGUAGAUAACGCGCGUGCAAUUAUCUGUAAUACAAAGACCUGUAAUUAUUUAAUCACGGCGUUGGAGAAUGAAAAAUUGUUUCUUCUUAUGCAAGUUCAACAAAUCGUUUGUGAAUAGUAAUGCAAUAAAAUAUUGUGAUCAGCUAUGAAACUCUGUUUCGCUUAAAAACAAAAAAAGAAGGAUUAAUUGCUGCGGACUUAAAAUAGAUCAGAUUAAUUAAGCAACAGGGUGAAUUUUUGAUCAGAAAAUGGGAAAUUCAUUCGCCGUAAUAUCCUAUAAUUACAUUUCUCGCCAUGUGUACAGAAAUAAAUUUUUCCAUACUCAACA